rnacentral:snoRNA from 10 species
AGCUUAGUGAUUGCUACCACUCACAUUGGUUUUAUACGCUAUUCUGAUUGGAGCUGUUGAAAACUUAUGAGAGCU